AUUGAACGCUGGCGGCAUGCCUUACACAUGCAAGUCGAACGGCAGCACGGGUGCUUGCACCUGGUGGCGAGUGGCGAACGGGUGAGUAAUACAUCGGAACGUACCUUAUCGUGGGGGAUAACGCAGCGAAAGUUGCGCUAAUACCGCAUACGCCCUGAGGGGGAAAGCGGGGGACCGUAAGGCCUCGCGCGAUUAGAGCGGCCGAUGUCUGAUUAGCUUGUUGGUGAGGUAAAAGCUCACCAAGGCGAUGAUCAGUAGCUGGUCUGAGAGGAAGAUCAGCCACACUGGGACUGAGACACGGCCCAGACUCCUACGGGAGGCAGCAGUAGGGAAUAUUUCACAAUGGAGGAAACUCUGAUGGAGCAAUGCCGCGUGUAUGAAGAAGGCUUUCGGGUCGUAAAGUACUGUUAUAAGGGAAGAACAUGUAGAUCAGGAAAUGGGUUUACACUGACGGUACCUUAUCAGAAAGGGACGGCUAACUACGUGCCAGCCGCCGCGGUAA
rnacentral:rRNA from 1 species